rnacentral:rRNA from 1 species
CCUACGGGGGGCAGCAGUAGGGAAUCUUCCACAAUGGACGAAAGUCUGAUGGAGCAACGCCGCGUGAGUGAAGAAGGGUUUCGGCUUGUAAAGCUCUGUUGGUAGUGAAGAAAGAUAGAGGUAGUAACUGGCCUUUAUUUGACGGUAAUUACUUAGAAAGUCACGGCUAACUACGUGCCAGCCGCCGCGGUAAUACGUGGGUGGCAAGCGUUGUCCGGAUUUAUUGGGCGUAAAGCGAGUGCAGGCGGUUCAAUAAGUCUGAUGUGAAAGCCUUCGGCUCAACCGGAGAAUUGCAUCAGAAACUGGUGGACUUGAGUGCAGAAGAGGAGAGUGGAACUCCAUGUGUAGCGGUGGAAUGCGUAGAUAUAAGGAAGAACGCCAGUGGCGAAGGCGGCUCUCUGGUCUGCAACUGACGCUGAGGCUCGAAAGCAUGGGUAGCGAACAGGAUUAGAUACCCCGGUAGUC